AUGUCCCCCACCGAAGAAAGUCAAAGAACAUACGACUGCGAGAGGCGAGGGGGUGUUGCCAUCAAAGAGGGGGAGGGCUCCAGAGGAUGUUGGCAGGGUUCUCCCCGCGGCAACGAGGUGAAGAAGACUACUUCACGCGGGGCCAAGCAUAUCAUUAGGGACCCACUCGAACGCCUUCAUUCAAAGUUGUCAACAGGGGGCAACUCGGAUGUUCAUGAGGCGCCAGUCGACAAAACUGCUGCUGCACCGUCAACUGUUCCCACUAACUCUGAUGCAAGUGGCCGACCAUCUCCGCCGGUUGCAGAUGUCCAGGUUAGAACAACAGGCAUCCGUACAUCGGGGAGUGACGAGUCGGUAUCUGCCAGGACAGCUGAAAUAUUGCCAACUCUUCUGGCAAUGAAGGAUGCUGCUAUGAGCCAUGCCACCCCAUCAGCAAGCGUUGAAGUGGACGCUCCCGAGACCAACCUAAGCAAGGAAUAUUCCCACUCAUCUGACACUGAUUCCAAGCGCGUGCGUGGUGGCACUCCUGUGUCCACGACAGAAGUGGCUGAGACACGGAUAUUACAAUGUGAUGGAGAAACUGGAAGACCGGAGCACAACUGA
rnacentral:rRNA from 1 species